rnacentral:lncRNA from 1 species
UUGAGGGAGUGGCUGGUUUUGGGGAGGGAUAAGGUUGGUGUGUGUGUUGAUUUGUGAGUUUUGUCAAAAUUAAUCAAGUGGUGUAAGAUAAGAAAUUCUUAUCACCAUUAUUUCUAUCACCUUUCAUAAAAAUAAUAUAUGUUUUGAUGAUAGAUUUUUCUAUUGCCAUUUAAUCAAAUAUUUAACACUUUAAAUACAUGAUAAAUCAUUUGAAAAACAUAUCACAUAAACUUUAUGAAAUAAUUCAAAACUUUGAAUCAAUACACCAAACCUUUUUGUUCUUGGCAAGAACAUCAAGAACAAUGAAGAACAUCCAUGAAAAACCCAAAUUUCUCCAUGAACUUUUUCCACCCAAAAACAUUCCAAAACCAUUCUUACUUAAGGGAAAUAACAUCUAACCAAACUAGGGUACUUAGGGGUUCCAAAGAACACAUUAAAACACUUUUAACAAGUCAAACAAGAACCCAAAAAUUCACCCUUUGGAUUUGGCCGAAUUUUCCCAAAAGCAUGGCACCAAAUUUUAGCUCCAAUAUUCAUGCUUAUAUGAACAACAUCUACAACAUUUGAGAUAGCAAAUUUUCCAACAAAAUUUACUUUCAAAGAAGCAAGAAUAAAGCUUGUAACAAUUACAACUUUUAGAUCACAAACUUAUGAACUACAAAACACAAAAGGAUUCACCAACUACUAGACCUAGGCUCUGAUACCACUUGAAGGAAUUAUUUUGAAAAACAUGUUCAU